rnacentral:rRNA from 1 species
CGGGGGGCAGCAGUCGAGAAUUUUUCACAAUGGGGGAAACCCUGAUGGAGCGACGCCGCGUGGGGGAUGAAGGGCUUCGGUUCGUAAACCCCUGUCAUUGGCGAACAAGUGUUGCGCUCUAAUACAGUGUAACUUGAUAGUAGCCGAAGAGGAAGGGACGGCUAACUCUGUGCCAGCAGCCGCGGUAAUACAGAGGUCCCGAGCGUUGUUCGGAUUCACUGGGCGUAAAGGGUGCGUAGGUGGUUGGGUAAGUUUGAGGUGAAAGCUCCGAGCUCAACUCGGAAAAUGCCUUGAAGACUAUCUGACUAGAGGAUUGGAGGGGAGAUUGGAAUUCUCGGUGUAGCAGUGAAAUGCGUAGAUAUCGAGAGGAACACCAGUGGCGAAGGCGAAUCUCUGGACAAUUCCUGACACUGAGGCACGAAAGCCAAGGGAGCAAACGGGAUUAGAUACCCGAGU